UAAUUUGUAGAGGAUGCUUCGGGCAAGGCUGUGGUCUAAUUUGCUUGGAACAGCAGGUCAUAGAGGGUGAGAGUCCCGUCUAGGAUCGUGAGCCGCGUCCAUGUGAAGCUCCUUCGACGAGUCGAGUUGUUUGGGAAUGCAGCUCUAAAUGGGUGGUAAAUUUCAUCUAAAGCUAAAUAUUGGCCAGAGACCGAUAGCGCACAAGUAGAGUGAUCGAAAGAUGAAAAGCACUUUGAAAAGAGAGUUAAACAGUAUGUGAAAUUGUUGAAAGGGAAGCGCUUGCAAUCAGACUUGUGUGUGACGGUUCCCCCGGCCCUCGGGCCGGGCUAUUCCGUCACGUCCAGGCCAGCAUCGGUCUGGGUGGUCGGUUAAAGACCCCGGGAAUGUAUCUACCUUCGGGUCGACUUAUAGCCCGGGGUGCAAUGCGGCCCACCCGGACCGAGGAACGCGCUUCGGCUCGGAUGCUGGCGUAAUGGUUGUAAGCGGCC
rnacentral:rRNA from 1 species